CCCACAGGAAACCAAAUCUGAACCACCACAAGGUAAACUGAGUCCAGCAGGGACGGGGGCUGGGCCACACAGUGAUGCCAGAUGAAGCUCUUUUCCUGCCGGUGGCCGUGGAGGGGGGGGGGGGGAAGGUGUGGGAGGGAACGGUAGGCAAUUUCUCUGAGUGCAGGAUCGCUACUAAAAUAGGGAUAAAAAAUGAGUCAUUAGCGAGAUUGACAGGCAGAGCUUUAAAAUGUCGCUGGUCCGGGAAGAGCCAGCUAUGAGAAAGGAUGGAGAGAUGUACAGACGUCAGGGGAGAUCGUGGCACGGACAGUGCUUUUCUCCAAGCCCUCCACCUGGUGUCUGAUGUUGCCAAGGUCACAGGCACAAAAAUGACUCCUGUUGUGCUAGAUGUAGACGUACCAACAGUUACACUACGUUACGUUGGACCAGGUCACGCAAGAUCUCUGGUUGUGUCUGUGGUGGAGACAAGGAGAUGUCAGAAACCCAGGGGUGUAUCAGUUAGGGAAGGUUAUACGCGGUAACAAACAUCCCCCAGAUCUCCGUGGCUCAAAAGUGACCCAAGAUGCAUCUCCUGCUUGCGUUCAUCCCUCUGUCGGGGUUUGGCUGAGGAUGUGUUGCAUCCUCCUUCUACAGGCACCGGUUGGUGGAGCCACCGCCCCCUCUGACUUGCCGGUCACUGCCGCUGAAGAAAAGAGGCAACGUGACAAGUGGUAGCCUGGCUGCAGAAGUUUCCGUCCGGAGGGGGCACGUGUCACUUCAGCUCCCAUUUAAUUGGUCAAAGCAGCUCCCGUGGCUCCCACGGGGCUUCGGGGGGAGGAGAGAAGGGCAAUUCCGCCUGGGAAAAUGACCGGACAUCUUUUUUGGGGACAGCGUCAAUGGUUAACUUAGGGGAUGGGGGAAGGGCAAUGUUCGCCAGCAACGAAACUCACACCAGAAAAAAAGUACCCGAACAUCGGCCAAGGCCAGCUACCUCUAAUGCUCCUGGAUGUCGGCAACCUUCUAGAAUCUGAUAGGGUUUAAUUCGUGUGAUCCUCAAAGCAAUUCCAUUUGACGGACGAGGAAACCGAGCACAGAGAGGUUAGGUAUAUUUUCCGAGGACCCACAGCUCUGAAGCAGCAGACGGGGAGAUUUGAUCCUAAGCAAUGUGGCCCUAAACCGGGUGCAUUUAAAUGCUACAGCAGAACGCCUCAGACCCAGAGAAGCUUCCGGAAGACAAAAAGGGCCAAGAAAUGUCGGCCGCAGUGACUGAUUCAGGGAUAGGCCGGUGAUCCCCCCUGAGCCAAUCGGAUCCUUCACUGGGACUCUGGCUGGAUCCCGUAGGGAAGAGUCUCUGCGUCCACCCGAGUUGCUAGGAGAGAAGGGUGUGGGUCUGGGGAGCUGGUGACUGCGUGGAGGGUUGCAAGAUGGCGACGAUCAUGUUUGAACCCCUGGAGGCAGCCGUGUCUGAAGCCAGCUUAAUCCUGGCUUCCCAGUCCACAAGCCGGCACGCCCGCCCCCCUUAUUAUAUCUGUUUUUCAAGGCAGUUUGAGUUGAGUUGCUUUCCCUUGUAAGCAAAAGAUCCCUACAGAGGGCCAGUGUCCUUGUGCAGAUCCCCGGAGAACUGACUCGAGACGCUGAUGCCCUGGAAAACGAGGGUGUCUCUACUAUGUGACAGAUGCCGGUGAGCCCGUGCCUCAGAGCAGGGAACUCGAGUCCAAUUCAGCCUCCAACACGGACCCCACGACCCCCGCCUCCUGGUGUUUACAGCGGGGUAGGCUUCUCCCUCUCUGUGUCAGGCUGGGUCCCUGUGACCAAUAGAUGCGGUCACACAGAGGUGAUGACUGUCGCUACCGAGAUUAGGUUGUAAAAGACUGUGUUUUCUACCUCAUUUGUUCCGCGCGUGAGCUUCUCUCUCUCUCAUCUCCCCCUCCCACGGCCGCCUCCCUCUCUCUCUCUUGUCUCUCCCUCCUCCCUGGCUCCCGGCCGGUCCUGCUCUCGGACCAGCCUUGGUCUCUCCUGCUUUCCUUCCGCUCUCAUCUCCCUCCCCCUCCUCCCUUGACCUCUGGUCUGUCUCCCAUCUG